rnacentral:lncRNA from 1 species
CCAGAUUGUUUUUUUCUUUUCUUUUUGAGACAGUCUUGCUGGGUAGCCCAGGGUGGCCUCAAAUUUACAAUGAUCUGCCUGCCUCAGCCUCUGAAGUGCUGGGAUUACAGGUGUGUGCACCACCACACCUGGCUCUUCAAGCAUAGAUCUGAAUGAUUUCAAAAUAACUGAGAUCAAGGCCCCAGGAGGGAAUGGGUGGGGACACAAGAUGUGGAGUAGGCUACUUUAGCAGAGAGUGAGCAAAGCCCAAAGUCACUGGUUGCUUUGUGCCAGCCAGGUGGCUGAGCUGUCUGGCACAUGCAAAGGUCCUGAGGUGCCUCUGAAGAACUAGCAGAUGUUGCAUGUUGUGAGAUUGGAGAAGGCGCAGAGGUGAGAAAGGCCAGAGAUCGGGGUGAGCGGGCAUGGAAACUAUCCCGGGACCCACGGGCCGCCCCUGGAGGCUUCAGAGCCAAGCAUGAUGAGGUCAGAUUCGUGUUUUGGCAAAUAUCUCUUGAGUGGCUGCUGGGAGGGUCAGUGAGGAGGGCAGGGAGGAAGGGAGGUCAGCAGGAGGUUGUUGGUGUAAUCCACAGGGUGGCCCGGCUGUGGGCUGGGAGGUCCCGCGCUGGAGAAAGUGGGGGGAGGUGGGCGGCAGAGAACUCUCGGGGGCUGCUGGGAAGACACUGGGACAUCCGGGUGCUCCUCAAAGCCAGCGCUCGCGGACUUGCGGACUUGGGUUUCUUGGGUUUCGUGGGAGGAGGGUCCCAGAGGGCGGUGGUGGGGCGGGACGCGAGGAAGGGGAGGCAACCGGCGGGGGCACCUGGGCUGGCACCCGGGCCCCGCCCGCCCCGGCCUUGCUCUUUCAGUGGAACCUGAAUAAGCAAGGAGACCCCUGUGUACGCGGAGGCGGUUCGGGGCGCACCCUUCCAGGUUCCCCAGGUAACGCGGAUCAGGAGCCCUAGCACCCGGGGAGCCCCAGCACCCGGAGAGCCCCGAAGUCGCCCACUGGGCCGGCUUGAGGCACGUGGCUCCACUGAGCCAAUCACUGGCCGGGAGGACACCGUGCUGCUGUGGUGGGGCGUGCCUGUAAUUCUAGCACUCUGGGAGGCUGAGACAGGAGAGUUUCCUGCCCAAGCCCCGCCUGGGCAACUUAGCAAUUUAAAGAGAACCUGUCCCAAAAGAGGGAGUGGUGUGCGGAUCGGUUCCAUCUCCAGUACUGGAAAAAAAAGAAAACAAAAUCGGAGGCCCUUCCAGAAGGGGGCCCGGCUGCUGAGGUGCGUUUAUUCUACCUUCACUGUGUGCCACAGUCCUCACUCACCGCAGCUGUCCUCAGGUACGGAGACCAGGGAGCAGGAUCAGAGUGGUAAAUGAUUUGCCUACGGUCACACAGCAGGUGCCCAAGUCCUUAAGGAAGUGCAGCUCACUCUGAGGUGGAGGGAGGAUUCGAAGCCGGCGCCAACGCAGAGAUGGAGACAGCGGAACAAAAGGGAAGCGGGUGGAGGGGGCUUCUGCGUGGGGCGGGGGUCUCGCCAGGCCUCAGGAAGGAGGCUGGCGCCGAGGCAGAGCCAGGAGCUGCCCCCGCCGCGGAGAAGGGCCGGGCCUGAGAAGGGGGAGGGGAGGCCCUGGAUCCUGAAGCUGGGUCCUCGAGAGCCGCUCAGCCCCGCGGGCCUGCGGGCCCCGGCUCGGCUCGGCUCGGCUCGGCUCCGGUUUCGGCUCGGCUCAGCUCGGCUCCGGCUCCGCGGCGGCUGCUUCUGUGGUUUCCGAAUGAAGGCGCCUGACUCAAGGCCGCCGUCCGGAUGAUUCCAAGAGGAAUUUAACUACUUCUACAUCAAGCAAUAAA